rnacentral:rRNA from 1 species
GUCGAGCGGUAGCACAAGAGAGCUUGCUCUCUGGGUGACGAGCGGCGGACGGCCGAGUAAUGUCUGGGAAACUGCCUGAUGGAGGGGGAUAACUACUGACGUAACGGUAGCUAAUACCGCAUAACGUCGCAAGACCAAAGUGGGGGACCUUCGGGCCUCACGCCAUCAGAUGUGCCCAGAUGGGAUUAGCUAGUAGGUGGGGUAACGGCUCACCUAGGCGACGAUCCCUAGCUGGUCUGAGAGGAUGACCAGCCACACUGGAACUGAGACACGGUCCAGACUCCUACGGGAGGCAGCAGUGGGGAAUAUUGCACAAUGGGCGCAAGCCUGAUGCAGCCAUGCCGCGUGUGUGAAGAAGGCCUUCGGGUUGUAAAGCACUUUCAGCGAGGAGGAAGGCAGUAAGGUUAAUAACCUUGUUGAUUGACGUUACUCGCAGAAGAAGCACCGGCUAACUCCGUGCCAGCAGCCGCCGGUAAUACGGAGGGUGCAAGCGUUAAUCGGAAUUACUGGGCGUAAAGCGCACGCAGGCGGUUGGAUAAGUUAGAUGUGAAAGCCCCGGGCUCAACCUGGGAAUUGCAUUUAAAACUGUCCAGCUAGAGUCUUGGAGAGGGGGGUAGAAUUCCAGGUGUAGCGGUGAAAUGCGUAGAGAUCUGGAGGAAUACCGGUGGCGAAGGCGGCCCCCUGGACAAAAACUGACGCUCCAGUGCGAAAGCGUGGGGAAGCAACAGGAUUAGAUACCCUGGUAGUCCACGCCCGAAACCAUGUCCAAUUGGAGGUGUGGUCCUGAGACGUGGCUUUCCGAGCUUACGCGGUUAAUCCAACGCUGGGGAGUACCGGCGCCAGGGUAUAA